rnacentral:rRNA from 1 species
GACGAACGCUGGCGGCGUGCUUAACACAUGCAAGUCGAACGGUGAAGCUCCAGCUUGCUGGAGUGAAUCAGUGGCGAACGGGUGAGUAACACGUGAGCAACCUGCCCCUGACUCUGGAAUAAGCGCUGGAAACGGCGUCUAAUACUGGAUACGAGAAGGGUCCGCAUGGGCACUUUCUGGAAAGUUUUUCGGUUGGGGAUGGGCUCGCGGCCUAUCAGCUUGUUGGUGAGGUAAUGGCUCACCAAGGCGACGACGGGUAGCCGGCCUGAGAGGGCGACCGGCCACACUGGGACUGAGACACGGCCCAGACUCCUACGGGAGGCAGCAGUGGGGAAUAUUGCACAAUGGGCGAAAGCCUGAUGCAGCGACGCCGCGUGAGGGAUGACGGCCUUCGGGUUGUAAACCUCUUUCAGCAGGGAAGAAGCGAAAGUGACGGUACCUGCAGAAGAAGCACCGGCUAACUACGUG